UUAUGCCACUAUGAUGCUCAAAUACAAAGAUUUGCUUCUCACUGUUUUUUUGCUCCAUCGUUCUGAGUCAUCAUAGCAAAAAAAGAAAACCUGAUCCUUCCCCUGAAGAGUUUUCUUCUACAUGGAACCCUUAACCUCAAAUUUAACCCAGAGGAGCCAAACAGCUACAGUCCCUCUGAGGGCUUUUAUACCCAGUGGGAUUUGCCACCUCUCCUUUCCCAGGCAUUGUGGGAAAAAGAGGCGGGCCCAAUUAGGGGUAUAUUAACCCCAGGCUGUGCUAAGGAGCAUUAUUUCCUCCUAGGGAAUUUGCUGGGGUAAAGAGCUUGUCUUUCAUUUCAGCAAAGAGGCUCUUUCAAUUUACUUUAGCCUGCUGUCAAUGCGGAUGGAUUAAACCCGUGGCAGAGCGCCCCAUCCCAGAUGAGAACCCUGAGAAGGAAGUAAAGCCAGAUAGCGGCAGUGAAGGUGAAGUGGGUGCAAGGUGGUGUACUUGCAAUAUAUCCCAGCCCAGGAUGCCAGAGGACAGGUGUUGCUGCUGCCCCAAGCAUGCCGAUGAGCAGGUCUCUGAUGCCUAUUUUCUGGGAAUCCACCAUUUGAUGUUGAGAAGCAGCAGACAGAAGAGAUGUCAGGGUAUUUUGUUCAGCAUGGUGUUUCAAAUAAGGGUUGUGGGCACUGUGUAAGUUAGAGUCUCCUGCUGGGGGUGAGAGCGUGUCUGUCUGUGAGAGUCAGUCUGUCUGUGUCUGCUUGUGUGUGACUGUGAGUGUGUGGGUUGACUGGUUCUAAUGGUGUGUGUAUGAUUUUUCCUUUUCAGCACUUCAAACUCAUUUUUAAGUUUAGAAUAAAAAAUCUCCAGCCAGGUUUUUUUUUUUCCCC
rnacentral:lncRNA from 1 species